GCUAAAAGCCUCCACGUGGAAAGAAAUCCCCAAAUGUUACAAAUGGAGAUUAACGACCAGAAAGCAGCCCGAGCAGCAGCGAAAUGCGAAAUCUCCCUCUUCUGCGUUCCCUGCUGUUGAUUUAUAUUUUAUUUUUAACUACAAUCUCACAGAGACGCAGCGCCGGGAAAUCACGACCAGAUGUACUCAAAGAGGCUCUUUGCUUUCGGCUAACAUCUCUUUUAAACACAUCAAGAAAAAGAAAGGAUUGGAAAUAGUUCGGUUUGCUUGUUUAUUUAAGUACAGACGCGACUGCGAAGAGUCGGGGCAAAACGGCAGCGCAGCUGCGCGGGAGUCGUUCUGAAAAUAGAGCGUACGGAGCUGCGCCUCUUAGGGCUGAGACUGCGCCGUGUGCUGAGCUGCACCCGGGGAGGAGGGAGCCUGCCGGCGGCCCAGCUCUAUGCUCUUCAUUUUGCUCUGCAAAAACAGCUCUAGGUUUGGCCAGGAGCAGGAAAGGAAUGCGUUUAUCCUGCGCUGGGCUGCGCGUAAAGUGGGCGCUGUGGGAUGCCGUGUUUCUGCGCCUCGGCUCCUUCUUCUCUGGGAAGAGUAGCAAAGAUCUGACUGUAAAAGCAGGUUUGCAGGCAGACAGGAAGGACUGCCCCUGAGAAGUAAAGGGGCUUUUAUUUCCAGGAGCACAUUGACCCCAGAGAGAGGAGGAUGAAAGAGUGCAGUCCCUGGCUUGACGUGAUGAUGGUGGUUUGAAGAAGAAUGACAGUGUUAUGGAUGCAUUGGGCUGGAUCUGCGCUGUCCUGAUCCUGAGAUCAAGUGUCAUGGCAUGCCUUGGGUCCCCAGACUACAUCCUCUGCUCCUCCAAAGCAGUGUCCUGAUAUCAACCAGGAAUAGUCCCCAGUCUUUGCUAUCUUUGUGAGUGCUCACUCUGCUAGGGAGUGAGCUAACAGUGAGAACUACAAACAAGCAUUUGCCUAAGCCUGUCUGCUUUACCUUGCUGACACACACAUGGCCAAGAACGCCAAGCCAUGUGGACCAUUUGCGCUGGACAAGGGACUGCCAAGCCAUCUGUGACCUGGUGCUGAGAAGCUUGCUAAAGAGAGUGGUCCCACCUCCCACUGGGUGCCUUCCCUUACAAUAUCCAGCUAGCUAUGUCUUCUUCGCUUCCCUAUAGGGAUGUCCUUUUCCUGUCUGUACCAUGGUGUAUACUGACAUGAAACAGCAAAAAAGCCUCUCCAAGACCAGACAGUUGGAAGAAGACAUGAGUGAUGGUUUAUCUGACCUACUUGAUAUGACAGUUACCCCCUGAAUGCAUGGGAAUUGUUGAGUUGAUAUCUAAUGGCUUUCAGGGGAGCAUGGGAUACAAAGGCUUGUCAUAGAUGUCUCCACUUAGUUGAUGAAUCCCUCCCAAGUAAAUGUGAGAGGAGAAUAAUGCAGGAGAGGAGAUAAAAAGAGCACUGAGAUGUUCUCUUGUGACUCACCUCAGGGCUACACCUUCAGCUCUUUUAGCCCAGCUCUCCAGUAACCUCUCCAAUUAAAUCAAGACUUCAGCUUCCUCUGGGUUUACAUGGAUUUGCAAAGUGUGAUAUGGAAAUUUUCCUGCAGCAAGUCCACUUAUCGCUCCAAUUUCAGCUAACUGCAGUGUAGAUUUUAUUAUUCAUAGCCAGAGGCCUGCGUACAUUUCUAGGUUGACUUCUCAUGUCUUCAUAAGGGCAGAAUGUGGGCUGCAGCGUUCAGGUUUCACAAAGAAUUACUGAGGGAACUGGCUUGCCU
ensembl:lncRNA